rnacentral:rRNA from 1 species
CAGCAGCCGCGGUAAAACGAAGAGGGCUAGCGUUGCUCGGAAUCACUGGGCGUAAAGGGUGCGUAGGCGGGUCUUUAAGUCAGAGGUGAAAUCCUGGAGCUCAACUCCAGAACUGCCUUUGAUACUGAGGAUCUUGAGUUCGGGAGAGGUGAGUGGAACUGCGAGUGUAGAGGUGAAAUUCGUAGAUAUUCGCAAGAACACCAGUGGCGAAGGCGGCUCACUGGCCCGAUACUGACGCUGAUGCACGAAAGCUAGGGGAGCAAACAGGAUUAGAUACCCGCGUAGUCCCUGUCUCUUAUAC